GUUCUGUUUUGAGGGUUCGAAGGCACGAGGGAGGCAGGACACGGGCAUCGGAGAGGACUCGGCCAGGAGGACCCUCAGCGUGACGCAGCAGGAUGGAAUGACCCACGUGGAGGGCUAGAGGCUAAGGUGCCAUAAGAUGCCUGGAAGUGUGAAGCCACACACUGAGGAGGAGACUGAAAAGGGGCCAUGAGGGCAGCCUUUGGAGCAUUUGCAGUGAGCCUGGCUGGUAGCGACGAGGGUGUCAGGGCCGGUGCAUUCGAAGAAGCACCACAGUUAUUUUCUGUCUUUGAAUCUCCGGCGCCUAAGGGAUGACGACAGCCGUGUCAGACUCCGGAAGGAGCAGGGUUGCCGACCCCCAGGAAGAACACGGCACCCAAAGAAAGGCCUCAGUGAGCGAUGUAAUUUCCACAGAGAUGGACUUC